GCUGGAGCUUGCUCCGGUGGAUUAGUGGCGAACGGGUGAGUAACACGUGAGUAAUCUGCCCUUGACUCUGGGAUAACUGCGGGAAACUGUAGCUAAUACCGGAUACGACACCUUCGGGCAUCCGAGGGUGUGGAAAGAAUUUCGGUCAAGGAUGAACUCGCGGCCUAUCAGCUAGUUGGUGAGGUAAUGGCUCACCAAGGCGACGACGGGUAGCCGGCCUGAGAGGGUGACCGGCCACACUGGGACUGAGACACGGCCCAGACUCCUACGGGAGGCAGCAGUGGGGAAUAUUGCACAAUGGGCGCAAGCCUGAUGCAGCAACGCCGCGUGAGGGAUGAAGGCCUUCGGGUUGUAAACCUCUUUUAGUUGGGAAGAAGCGAAAGUGACGGUACCAACAGAAAAAGCACCGGCUAACUACGUGCCAGCAGCCGCGGUAAUACGUAGGGUGCAAGCGUUGUCCGGAAUUAUUGGGCGUAAAGAGCUCGUAGGCGGUUUGUCGCGUCUGCU
rnacentral:rRNA from 1 species